GGGAAUGUGGCUUAGUGGUAGAGUGCUUGCCUAGCAUGCAUAAAUCCUGGGUUAGAUUCCCCAUUACCA
rnacentral:tRNA from 1 species